rnacentral:rRNA from 1 species
AUGUAUGAGGACAUCUUCCAAACCCCUUUUGCCAUCAACGGCUUCAUAAACUCUUACAUAGGAGAGCUCAAAGCCCUCCAGGAGCCCGGUGCAUCAGGAAUCAGGGCGCCGCAGCGACGUCCAAAUCACGGGAUUGCACCGCCUGUUGGCCUGGUAAAACUCAAUGUAGAUGCUGCGGUGGGGCGAUCGCAUGGCGCAGUGGGGGCAGUGUGUAGAGAUUGAGAUGGAGUUUUUCUGGGAGCAUCGGCGGUGAUUUUCCCCAAUUUAUCAGACCCGGGUACUCUGGAGACACUCGCUAUCAGGGAGGCAAUAGCGUUAGCUGAUGAUCUCUAGGUCAGGAGGAUCCAUGUUGCUUCGGAUUGCAAGGUGGCCGUGGACAAUAUCCACCAGCAGAACAAAGGGAGCUACGGUGCAAUUGUGCAUGAAAUCUUACAGUAUAAGUCUGCUUUUGAAAUCUGUAAAAUAAGUCAUGAAUUUAGGAGCUCAAAUAUCGAGGCUCACAAACUUGCAAAGCACGCUUUAUCUUUCGGGGUUGGCCGCCAUGCUUGGUUAGGCCAGCCCAAUGGUGUUCUUUUUCUCAUAGUUUGUCUCUCGUUGAUUGGUCAUUACUGGGCCUAUAACAGCGAGAGGCCCCCUUUUGGACCCCAAGAUCACACGGGAAUAUUAGGGGUAGAUAGUGAUGUCGUAGAUUUCCUCUUGGUUCACGUGAGAGUUUAUUUUGUGGGUGCUGCUGCGGCUCCAGCCAGCGUGAGGCACUGA